UGCAAGUCGAACGAGAGAGAGGGAGCUUGCUUCCUCGAUCGAGUGGCGAACGGGUGAGUAACGCGUGAGGAACCUGCCUCAAAGAGGGGGACAACAGUUGGAAACGACUGCUAAUACCGCAUAAGCCCACGGCUCGGCAUCGAGCAGAGGGAAAAGGAGCAAUCCGCUUUGAGAUGGCUUCGCGUCCGAUUAGCUAGUUGGUGAGGUAACGGCCCACCAAGGCGACGAUCGGUAGCCGGACUGAGAGGUUGAACGGCCACAUUGGGACUGAGACACGGCCCAGACUCCUACGGGAGGCAGCAGUGGGGAAUAUUGCACAAUGGGGGAAACCCUGAUGCAGCGACGCCGCGUGGAGGAAGAAGGUCUUCGGAUUGUAAACUCCUGUUGUUGAGGAAGAUAAUGACGGUACUCAACAAGGAAGUGACGGCUAACUACGUGCCAGCAGCCGCGGUAAAACGUAGGUCACAAGCGUUGUCCGGAAUUACUGGGUGUAAAGGGAGCGCAGGCGGGCGAUCAAGUUGGAAGUGAAAUCCAUGGGCUCAACCCAUGAACUGCUUUCAAAACUGAUUGUCUUGAGUAGUGCAGAGGUAGGCGGAAUUCCCGGUGUAGCGGUGGAAUGCGUAGAUAUCGGGAGGAACACCAGUGGCGAAGGCGGCCUACUGGGCACCAACUGACGCUGAGGCUCGAAAGUGUGGG
rnacentral:rRNA from 1 species